CCGCCCGCCGCCCCUGCCGGGCUCUCGGUGCCCCGGAGGGUGCCGCGCCCCGGCGGGCACGGCUCGGCUUUUGUUUGUGACGGCGUCGUGCGUCGCCCUGUGCCCCGGCGGCACGGUCGCUCCGCGCUCUGGACCGCGGGCAUUGCGUGGCUGAAGCCCUGGGAUGGGGGUGCAGCCAAGCGCUCGCAGCGCCGACAGAAAGCGGGAGCCGGGGUCGCUGGGAGGGUGUGGCUGUCUGCAGGUGCCAGUGCAGGGACAGACGGGUGGGAAAAUGGGACACACAGACAGAGCCCGCUACGUAAAUACUCCCGGGGGCAGAGGAAAAGGAUGCUAAGUUCUCCCCACUCCCCUUGCUUUUCCAUCUCCCACCUCAUCAGGACGACUCUCACCAUGUCCCUCUUUCUCACCAGUGCCCGGGGCCACAUGUGCUCACUGCCGACGACCAGAGGGGAGCAGUGGUACAAGCUGGGGCACAGCCCGGCCUUCUCCCCAGUGGCCUCCCCUGCCAUGGAGGGGGAGCAUGGUGGCAGCCCCCACGCAAACCUUCUCCUGCCCCUGCAGCCACUGUGCACAGUCAUGGCACCAAGUCAUGUCCAUGUCGAAUUGCCACCAGAGAUGAUGGCCAGCAGUCCAGUCACAUCAGGGUGGCUGGUGUCACCCUGACCACAAACUCUUAACUGGCUGCAAAUCGGUCCCAGGUCUCUUCUGCCUUCUGCCAGAGACAGAGGAAAGGACAGAUGAGGCAGAAGACAAGAUACUGGCUGGAGGAGGAGGAGUGAGUUACAUUUUACAGAGUACAGCUUGUAAACGUGUCCAGCAUCCAGAAGCCACAGAGACAGGAGAGAGACCAGAACCGUGACCCAGAGGUGCAAGUUCCUCACCUCAACUGUGCCUCCAUCAGUGCUACCACAUCAUGAGUUUCCCCAUUGCUUGGUCAUGUUUCUGCUCUUAACACAAAUGAAGGAAACUUGAUAGAAGAGAGAUAAUACCAAAUGCUUUUGAGAAAAUUCAAAUACAAAGAGUCAGGCAUACUUUCGAAAUUCGAAAGAUCAAACCCUGAACAUGUAUCUUGGGAAAAAAAUGGAUAAAAAGUCUAACAAGUAAGGCUUGGCCACCUAACUAAAAUUCUCUGGUUUUCCACUUUCAUUUCACCAAUCCUUUGUAUUUUGCCAGUUCCUCUUACAAUCGUUGGGUCCAAUGGAAGAAGACUCAGAGAUACAAAAGGCAGAGGAGAGGUGACUUAAUGCUUCACAGCUGUAUGGAACAGACUGCUUAUUGUGCCUUCUUUCUUUUUUGAGUCAGUAUUUGUGCCUAUGACAGAAAGAGCUUGUUUUUCAGCCAGCUUAAAAUCCAACUGUUAGUGGAGGAAAGUGACUUGAAGUCAACCUGAAAUUACUACUUGGGAAAUAUUUUGACAAAUUGAUUUUUUUUCUAUACAUUUAGUUUCAAUACUUUUUGCACUUUAAAAAUAAUUAUUUAGGAAUCUUGAAGUACCUAUGGAAAUGGAUAGUCAUUCCAAAAAGGAAAUGGUAAAGCACUGAAUUUUGAAAGUGACUAAUGAGAUAUCGCCAUUUUUCCUUUUAUCCUUUUGUUUUGACCUGAAGACAUCUACGGAUUCAUUGUGAACUUAUGACAUGCUUUUCAGUCCCCUGUAUUACGGCAGGGAUUUCUUGAUGGCUUCCCUUAAUCUCUGUAGGUCUGAAAUGGAAGUCUGCUUCUGACAGCGAAAAAUGUCAUAACUCUGCCUGCUUAGCAAGGGAGCAGAACGACUGACAGACACCUUGCAAAGUGAAAACAAAUGAGGAGCUCUAAUUUAAAAUCACAGAGAGCCAGCAGGGAGCUCCUGAUGACAUGCAGACGAGGGGCAGCUGAGCCUCUGGUGAUGGGAGAGCUGUUCCUACUGCAUUCCCUCCGACCUGGCUUAGCCUGAGGGGCAUCUGAUGUGGUGGAAGAGCUCCCAUGCUGAGCUGCACGGCACGGCCACACCAGCAGGUUUUAUUCUAGCUGAAGGGGAUAUCACAAAUGUUCUACAAGGUGGAUUUUUUUUUUAAUGUUUAGAUUGAGUAUGAAUGAAGAAAACCAGACAAGAAACACUAUAUUUAAAAAAAAUCAAAAAGGGUAAUAUAAAAAAUGUAGCAUUUAUAGGUAAUUUUUUUUUUUUUAACAGCAAUUAAGGACUUUGUCAUGAAGGCUCGUUUCCUGGACAUACCUUACAGCUCUUUUGAGCUGCCUAUUAAAGGUCCCUGUCACACA